CGAUCAGAUGCUUUUGAUGAAAAGGUAACCGCUACAUGAUACAUUACAUUAUCCAUGCAUCGCUAAAACCUAAUUAUUAGAAAAUAAGUGGAUUAUGUGACCAAAUCUGCGCCCCAAGUCACAGGAAACAAGAAUUGCAGUUUGAGGAAAUAAAAAGCCAGUUUUCAUCAGGCUUUUACCCUCUGAGUCUUUUCACCCCUCAACUGCAAGUCCAUAAAUUGCUAUUAAGUCAACAUUUUAGCACCCUUCGGCCUCUUAAAAGCAUCUUCUGUUCGAAAAACGGGGACAUGUUACUCUCAUGCCUGGCUGCCCUGAUUCCCUGCUAGCUACAGAGUUUAAAGUCUACAGAGCAUUAAAUUGUUUUUCCUUCUUCCAUUACAGAACGCAUGUCCCCUCGGUGCGUUGUUUUGGGCUUGUGAUCUUCUGACAUCAGAUUGCUGUGUGACGUCAGAGACAUCCAGGAAUGAAAACCAUGGUAACAGCAACUCUGUCUCAGCACCUGCUUCAAAACAAAGGUGUUUUCUUGAUCCUUUCCACCGUUUUGUUGAUGUUUCUCAUCACACUGUGUAUAUUUAUGUCUGCUGUAAACCUGCAUUUUCUCAUUAACCUAGAACACUAUCGGC